rnacentral:rRNA from 1 species
CCUACGGGUGGCAGCAGUGAGGAAUAUUUGUCAAUUUUCUUAAGCCUUAACCAGCCAAUUAUCUUGCAGGAUGACGGCCCUACGGGUUGUAAACUGCUUUUAUACGGGAAUAACGCGCCUUACGUGUAGGGCUUUGCAUGUACCGUAUGAAUAAGGACCGGCUAAUUCCGUGCCAGCAGCCGCGGUAAUACGGAAGGUCCGGGCGUUAUCCGGAUUUAUUGGGUUUAAAGGGAGCGUAGGCCGCAUGUCAAGCGUGCUGUGAAAUGUCCGGGCUCAACCCGGGCCUUGCAGCGCGAACUGGCGGGCUUGAGUCCGCGGAAAGCAGGCGGAAUUCGUCGUGUAGCGGUGAAAUGCUUAGAUAUGACGAAGAACCCCGAUUGCGAAGGCAGCUUGCUGCAGCGGAACUGACGCUGAUGCUCGAAAGCGCGGGUAUCGAACAGGAUUAGAUACCCGAGUAGUC